rnacentral:rRNA from 1 species
UACAGAGGUCUCAAGCGUUGUUCGGAUUCAUUGGGCGUAAAGGGUGCGUAGGUGGCGCGCUAAGUCAGGUGUGAAAUUUCGGAGCUUAACUCCGAAACUGCAUUUGAUACUGGCGUGCUUGAGGACUGGAGAGGAGACUGGAAUUCAUGGUGUAGCAGUGAAAUGCGUAGAUAUCGUGAGGAAGACCAGUGGCGAAGGCGGAUCUCUGGACAGUUCCUGACGCUGAGGCACGGAAAGCGUGGGGAGCAAACAGG